rnacentral:rRNA from 1 species
UACGUAGGGUGCAAGCGUUGUCCGGAAUUAUUGGGCGUAAAGAGCUCGUAGGCGGUCUGUCGCGUCGGCUGUGAAAACCCGGAGCUCAACUCCGGGCCUGCAGUCGAUACGGGCUGGCUUGAGUGCGGUAGGGGAGACUGGAAUUCCUGGUGUAGCGGUGAAAUGCGCAGAUAUCAGGAGGAACACCGGUGGCGAAGGCGGGUCACUGGCCCGGUACUGACGCUGAGGUGCGAAAGCGUGGGGAGCAAACAGG